AUUGAACGCUGGCGGCAUGCUUUACACAUGCAAGUCGAACGGCAGCACGGGGGCAACCCUGGUGGCGAGUGGCGAACGGGUGAGUAAUGCAUCGGAACGUACCCAGUCGUGGGGGAUAACGCAGCGAAAGUUGUGCUAAUACCGCAUACGACCUGAGGGUGAAAGCGGGGGACCGUAAGGCCUCGCGCGAUUGGAGCGGCCGAUGUCUGAUUAGCUAGUUGGUGGGGUAAAGCCCACCAAGGCGACGAUCAGUAACGGGUCUGAGAGGAUGAUCCGCCACACUGGGACUGAGACACGGCCCAGACUCCUACGGGAGGCAGCAGUGGGGAAUUUUGGACAAUGGGGGCAACCCUGAUCCAGCCAUGCCGCGUGCGGGAAGAAGGCCUCGGGUUGUAACGCUUCGACGGAAGAAUACGCAUGGACGUAAUACUACUGUGUGGAGUGACGGUACCGUAACGAAGAAGACACCGG
rnacentral:rRNA from 1 species